GUUGAUAGGCCGGAUCUGGAAGCACGGUAACGUGUGAAGGUGACCGGUACUAAUAGGCCGAGGGCUUGUCCUC
rnacentral:rRNA from 1 species